GAUGAACGCUAGCGGCAGGCUUAACACAUGCAAGUCGAGGGGUAGCAGGGUAGCAAUAUCGCUGACGACCGGCGCACGGGUGAGUAUCGCGUAUGCAACCUACCUUUAACUGGAACAUAGCCCGGCGAAAGUCGGAUUAAUUUUCCAUAACAUCACGAGAGGGCAUCUGAUUGUGAUUAAAGCUCCGGCGGUUAAAGAUGGGCAUGCGUGUCAUUAGCUUGUUGGUAAGGUAACGGCUUACCAAGGCUCCGAUGACUAGGGGGUCUGAGAGGAUGAUCCCCCACACUGGUACUGAGACACGGACCAGACUCCUACGGGAGGCAG
rnacentral:rRNA from 1 species